CUGAGUCUAGGGUCUUCAAGGCCCGAACCUCCCAACCCUAUGUUUACUGAACCUAUGUUGCUUCGGCGGGCCCGUCUUCUCACGAGGACCGCCGGAGGACCGCCGUCACAGGCGUCCUCUGGCCCGCGCCCGCCGAUGGCCCCCCUUAAAAUUCUUGUCUAAAUCGUGUUGUCUAUCUGAAUUACAAAAGCAAAUAAAUGCA
rnacentral:misc_RNA from 1 species